GAAUAUUGGACAAUGGGCGAAAGCCUGACGCAGCCACGCCGCGUGAGCGAUGAAGGCCCUAGGGUCGUAAAGCUCUGUGGAGGGAGAAGAAUAUAGCCAGUGAAGAGCUGGCCUUGAAGGUAUCCCUUUAGCAAGCCCCGGCUAACUCCGUGACAGCCUCAGCGGUAAUACGGAGGGUGCAAACGUUGCUCGGAAUCAUUGGGCGUAAAGCGCACGUAGGCGGCUUGGCAAGUUGAAUGUGAAAGCCCUGGGCUCAACCCAGGAAGUGCAUCCAAAACUGCCAAGCUCGAGUUCCGAAGGGGGCCAGAGAAUUCCCGGUGUAGAGGUGAAAUUCGUAGAUAUCGGGAGGAAUACCAGUGGCGAAGGCGCUGGCCUGGUCGGAUACUGACGCUGAGGUGCGACAGCAUGGGGAGCAAACAGG
rnacentral:rRNA from 1 species